rnacentral:rRNA from 1 species
GCUGGAAUCGCUAGUAAUCGCGGAUCAGAAUGCCGCGGUGAAUACGUUCCCGGGUCUUGUACACACCGCCCGUCACACCAUGGGAGUCAGUAACGCCCGAAGUCAGUGACCCAACCUUAGGGAGGGAGCUGCCGAAGGCGGGACGGAUAACUGGGGUGAAGUCGUAACAAGGUAUC